GCCGAGGUUUGAGCCAUCACAAUGGCAAAGAUGCCAUCACAAUGACAAACAUGAUCGUCUGAUAGAAGAACAUGUUCAGGGCACUUAAAGGGACUUGAAGGGAUUCACUUUCCUCGUCACUGGAGUUUGAAGUUCAGCCUUGAGCCUGUACGUUUCCAGCAAACAAGACUGCAGUGCAUUCUUCCGUUCUCCUUCCACCGCUCCUCUGCAUUGUUGCAAAACAUCUAGAGAGAUUAUGUAAAGUCUCUCUCAGGUCACAAGGACACAAGGCCACAUACAGCAUUGAAGUGAAUGUUAAGCUGCUACCACACUAUGAAGUGAACUCUACAGGCAGUCCAUACUACUCCAGGGAGACCAAAUAGCUUUGCUAAAUAAUUAUUUCACCAACAAUUUCAGGUCAUUUUCUAUCAAUUUCCUCAUUGCAGUUAUUUGAUUUAGUUUUUUUCAGGCUGUAUUAAGCCAGAUUUUUUUUAAUGGGCUCAUGUCAUUAGAAAUAACAUUUUCCUUGAUCUUUUGCGAUAAAAGAGCUUGAUAUGCU
ensembl:lncRNA